UACGGAGGGAGCUAGCGUUGUUCGGAAUUACUGGGCGUAAAGCGCACGUAGGCGGCUUUGUAAGUUAGAGGUGAAAGCCUGGAGCUCAACUCCAGAAUUGCCUUUAAGACUGCAUCGCUCGAAUCCAGGAGAGGUGAGUGGAAUUCCGAGUGUAGAGGUGAAAUUCGUAGAUAUUCGGAAGAACACCAGUGGCGAAGGCGGCUCACUGGACUGGUAUUGACGCUGAGAUACGAAAGCUAGGGGAGCAAACAGG
rnacentral:rRNA from 1 species